rnacentral:rRNA from 1 species
AUUAGUGACGCGCAUGAAUGGAUUAACGAGAUUCCCACUGUCCCUAUCUACUAUCUAGCGAAACCACAGCCAAGGGAACGGGCUUGGAAAAAUCAGCGGGGAAAGAAGACCCUGUUGAGCUUGACUCUAGUCUGACUCUGUGAAGAGACAUGAGAGGUGUAGCAUAAGUGGGAGGCCGUGAACCCUCGCGGUUGUGUCGUGCCGACAGUGAAAUACCACUACUUUCAUCGUUUCUUUACUUACUCGGUGAAGCGGAAAGCGGACCAUGAGUGUCCACGCUUCUAGCACUAAGUGCAAGGCCCUUCGUCGGCCCGCACGAUCUGUUCCGAGGACAGUGUCAGGCGGGGAGUUUGACUGGGGCGGUACAUCUGUCAAAUGGUAACGCAGGUG